rnacentral:rRNA from 1 species
ACGCUCGACACCUACGGUAGGCAGCAGUGAGGAAUAUUGGUCAAUGGGCGCUAGCCUGAACCAGCCAAGUAGCGUGAAGGAUGAAGGCUCUAUGGGUCGUAAACUUCUUUUAUAUAAGAAUAAAGUGCAGUAUGUAUACUGUUUUGUAUGUAUUAUAUGAAUAAGGAUCGGCUAACUCCGUACCAGCAGCCGCGGUAAUCUGAGCGGGCUGGCAAGGC